rnacentral:misc_RNA from 2 species
AUGAACUCUUAGAUUGUCGCUGGUCAAGUUAAUUCUUGGCAUCGUGCACAUCUUUGUUAUCCAACUACACACACUUGUGAACCUAUUGUAGAUCGCAAGAUCUAUGUCUUUCAUCACUUCUUAAACGUAUGUCUCAGAAUGUAAACCAAAUUAUUA